AGAGCGAACGCUGGCGGCAGGCUUAACACAUGCAAGUCGAGCGGGCGUAGCAAUACGUCAGCGGCAGACGGGUGAGUAACGCGUGGGAACGUACCUUUUGGUUCGGAACAACACAGGGAAACUUGUGCUAAUACCGGAUAAGCCCUUACGGGGAAAGAUUUAUCGCCAAAAGAUCGGCCCGCGUCUGAUUAGCUAGUUGGUGAGGUAACGGCUCACCAAGGCGACGAUCAGUAGCUGGUCUGAGAGGAUGAUCAGCCACAUUGGGACUGAGACACGGCCCAAACUCCUACGGGAGGCAGCAGUGGGGAAUAUUGGACAAUGGGCGCAAGCCUGAUCCAGCCAUGCCGCGUGAGUGAUGAAGGCCCUAGGGUUGUAAAGCUCUUUUGUGCGGGAAGAUAAUGACGGUACCGCAAGAAUAACGCCCGGCUAACUUCGCGCCAGCAGCCGC
rnacentral:rRNA from 1 species